UACGGAGGGUGCGAGCGUUGUCCGGAAUCACUGGGCGUAAAGGGCGCGUAGGUGGCGGUCCAAGUCAACGGUGAAAGCUCGGGGCUCAACCCCGAGUCGGCCGUCGAUAUUGGGCUGCUUGAGCACUGUAGAGGCAGAUGGAAUUCCGGGUGUAGCGGUGGAAUGCGUAGAGAUCCGGAAGAACACCGGUGGCGAAGGCGGUCUGCUGGGCAGUAGCUGACACUGAGGCGCGACAGCGUGGGGAGCAAACAGG
rnacentral:rRNA from 1 species